UGGUUAAAAUAUUCAUUGUACUG
rnacentral:snRNA from 1 species